rnacentral:rRNA from 1 species
UACGGAGGGUGCAAGCGUUAUCCGGAUUUACUGGGUUUAAAGGGUGCGUAGGCGGGCUUUUAAGUCAGUGGUGAAAUCUCCGGGCUCAACCCGGAAAUUGCCAUUGAUACUAUUAGUCUUGAAUUAAGUUGAGGUGGGCGGAAUGUGUCAUGUAGCGGUGAAAUGCUUAGAUAUGACACAGAACACCGAUUGCGAAGGCAGCUCGCUAAACUUAUAUUGACGUGAGGCACGAAAGCGUGGGGAUCAA